rnacentral:lncRNA from 1 species
GGGGCAGUCUGCCCUGGGUCCCAACACUGCUUUUGAGUCAAGAUUGCAAGACUACUGUUAGUUAUGUCUGACCAGAUACUGAAAGUCAAAGGUCAGCAGAUGGAAGCAGAGCUGGUUGGGACAUGGAGAAUUGUCUCAGAGCACGUCUCGAUGAUACUUCAUCAAGAGUCUGCUGCUUCCAGGCUUGCUUUCUUCAGUCAGCUGAAUGCAGGGAACGAGGAAGCUCCAGGGCAGAGCUGCAAGAUGGAAGGAGCCAGGAUCCCUGAGUCGGCCUGCAACAGACCGCCUGCUGACCAGGAACACCUGCCGUGGAAGUUUACCAGAGCGAGAGAGAGACUUCUGUUGUGCUUUGGCCAGUUGAGGAGACUGUGCUGUAGGAUCUCCACAACUUCUGGAGUUCGUCCUUUUUUGACCUCCUCAAAGGGAAAGGGCAAAAGAGCAUUGGGAGCUUUUAUAAAUGCACGUGUGUGCACGCCAGCCAUGCUGCACACUAUCCCCUGUUGUGACUUUACCAUGGGCCUGGUGCCAACACGUGCUAACUGCACACUGCUUGCACCACUAAUUUGGGACACAGAUGGCCCAGACGUGUUUGUGGCUCAGUGAAGGUGAGGGAGCUGCUGAGCUGCCAGUCCACAAAGAUUGAUGAAAUCUGAGAACUUCAGAGGAAAGAGCUGGCGUGGCACCAAGGCCAUUAGCAUAUGGAAUCCUUAUCAAGUGUAUCUCGGCUUACUUGCACAUUGAAUUUUCAGUUAGACUUCUUUUAGUUUACUUAAUUACCUGCUUAUAACAAUUCAAAUAAAUCCUGAGAAGUUAUGUUUUGUGUAGCUAGGGAGCUGACUUCAUGUAGAUUAACACUGGAGUCCAAAAUCGGAGAGAAGGGAAGAGUCUCACGUAUAAACUUCACAUUGUGUCUUUGUACUCAGUUCACUUUGGGUUCUGUCUAAUGGAAUGCAGUGCCUUAAAACGUUACAUGGUUGUGUUUUCAACUAGUUUUAUCUUCUGUAGUAUAUUUAUUUUCUAGAAGGAUAUAUUUUAAAUGUUUUGGCACCGAUAAAAUGUAGAGAAAUGUAAAUAUAAUGGCAAUUAGACAGUUUCAUUUUUAAGAUUAGUAAUUUCUCUUUCAGUGAAGAGAAGGUGAGUCAGGUAUGGUAAUUUUUCUAUUUAAAAUGGGGUACUAGCAUUAUAGCAUAUGCAUAUAUAUUUUUCUUUAAAAUCAAUGAGUAUUCAGUAUUGGUACUAAAUUUAAACCUGGUUGUUCUUUAACAUUUUCUAAAAUUGAUCUUCCCUUAAUGGGCUUUCCGUAGAUAGGACAUAAGUUGAGCCUCAUGUUCAGUGAUUUCUCUCCUAUUUCGGAGCCCAGUUAAUCUUCACUAUGGCCAUCACUCCGUCACUUAAUCCACUUCAUGUACUUACACUCUCAGCGACCCUUCUAGAUUCAGUGUUCAAAGCCUAAAGUUCAGCCAAGUUCCCUCAUUAGAAUUCCCGCCUUUGGUUAGUCUCGUCAUAGAAUUUUGAGAGAAAAGACCCGAAGCUCACUCUUCUACAUGAACCUCAUAAGAGUUAGCAUUUCCUAGCUUAGAAUGGAACCAGGGACACGGUAUGAAUGUCAGAGCCUUAGGACUUCUCCCCUCCUCACGCCUGAAUUGUUGUAAGUCAUUCUAGUUCUUCCACGUGGGAUGCUGCCACAGAAUGGCUUGAUGAGCAGCGUGCAGGUCUGUGCCCAGGAUCGGAACCGGUGAACCCUGAGUCACCGGAGCGGAGCACGUGAACUUAACCAAUCGGCCAUGGGGCUGGCCAGCUAAUUUUGUAUGUAAACUUAAUUCUCGGUCAAGAUGUCCUGGAUGCUCUUGGUAUUUUUAAUCUCACAUUGUUCAUUUUCACUCUUAACUUCAGUCUACAGAAUAUGUCAAAAUGGGGGCCCACAGAGAAGCUUUCUACACUGAAGUUUUUUUUCUUGGACUGAUUCUUCAGGCCUAGAAGCUCUCUUUAUUGGGCAAGUGACAGGGUAGCAAGUUCCUCCCCGGCUCUCAGUAUCAAGAAGGGUUUGAUUAUAAAAGAGAGCUUCUCUAAACCUGUUCAGGAAAAUAAAAUAGUAAAAUAUAAGUCUAUCAUUUUCAUAGGACUACCUCAUUGCCAGAAAGAGUCCUACAAUCUUUUCCGUGUUGUCAUGUACCUCUACUUAAAGGGCAUAAAAAGAAUAUCAGGAAUCACUUUGAAGAAUUAAUCUAGCCCAACACACCCUUAUAAAGAAGAUUUAAUAGUUUAUUUAAUAGUUUAUUUGACCACCUACUCAAAAUUUGUUUAUCUUCAGUUUUCCUCUAAUUCUGCAAUUUUGUUACAGUUUUACCUAAGUUUCAAACAGAUAAUCACAAUUUAAAUUAAAAACAAACACUUCACAAUAUAGGAAAAGCCUGACUGAAAGAUAAAUUGUACAUCUCAAGUUAGCACAACAAAAUGUGUUUGAUAAACUGCCAAAUAAAUCUUUGAGUUGCCUCCCCGACCCUUGAACUGAUUUUUUCUCUUAAGGGCAUAAUUAAGCUUUCAUUCAGAAUGCCGUAUACCUCACAUUGCGAUUAUUGCUCUUAUCAAAAUCAACCAGUUGUUCUCCUCAACUUGCCCUGAAAUUUUAACUCCUCCGGAAAGCUCUCAGUUGCACACUCUCUACAAACAUUCCACCCAUCUCUGGUAUCCAAUGCCCACAGCAACUCAAGGAGGCGUUUGCAAUUUUAAUACGUUCCAGAAACAGGAGUUGAAAAAUGACGAAUUCACGAUGAUGAGAGGAAAUUCUGGAGGUUUUUAAAAAAGAAAAGAUUCUAUCAUAUUACUGGACUGUAAGAAAUAUCACUAGCAAUCUUUUUUCAUACAAUCCUAGAGUUCAUUAACAUUAAACCUUUGAUCAUGUAAGUAGAGUUGCAUGACCCCAUUUCAUUACUGUUAUUAAAAAUAAUGGUACCUGCCCUGUAUCUCCCAAUCCAUGAAGGAAAAUCACCUACAAGAGAAAAAAUUAAUAAACAAUGCCCAAAUAAACCCACACAGAAUUGAUACACACUAGCGUUGGUCAAUUCUGGAUGCCAGAAUUUCAGAACACUACCUUCAGCAAAUCAAACUCCAUAGAGCUCUCUUCAGUGGGAAAAAUACUUAAUUUCUCUCACUGUAGUUCCGAAGAUAAUUAAUGUGCGGCCUUAGCACUUAAAGAGGUCCCAGUUAGACAUUCUUAAGUGCAAAUAACAUUCUAGGAAAAAUAGUUUGUUUCAAGUCAAACCAUGCAAGUCUCAUGUAAACUGUAGACUUUUUCCAUCACAAAAAGGAGCUUCCGGGGUUAAAAAGACAUUUGAGCUCCUCGUACACGGUUUUCUAAAAAACAGCACCCUGUGAUGUCAUAAGUUGCCAAUCUUCAAACUUCUUUAAUUCAGGACACGAGUGCAAGGUAAGAAAAUAAAGUCAUUUUCUUGAGGACUUCAGACUUCCCUCACCCACAAACAAGAGAGAAACGAGCAACGGAGCCACCUCGAGUUAGGGUGCCUGGCCGCUAACGCCGGUCCCUACAAGCUGGGGACUCGCUCCGCAAUGCAGAGGGCUCGGGGCUGACGGGGGCGGGCGCGCUGAUCCUCCGGCCCGGCCGCAGCCCCGGCGCCCUCCCGACACCGACCACCCCACCCCACCCCACCCACCCAGCCCACCCCGGACCCGGCGGAGGGAACCCACCCACCGGCCGCCAGGCGGUCAGCGACGCCAACCCUGCGCGAAGGGCAGUGGUGAGCAGCGGGCCGAGGGUCCCCUCCGAGCCCCGGCUGCCGCCACUCACCGCAGCAGUGGCCUUCCGGGCGGCGGGGAUGAUGGCGGGAAGCGGGGCAGACAUGUUAUUACCGCACAUACACCGGCUCGACCGACAACGCGCGUCGCAGGCGGAAGGGAGAGAGGGCUCCCGGCCCGCCCCACCGGGCGCGCGCUCAGGUGUCGGCGGCCCGGCGGCGCUCUUUCCUGCCGGGCGUCCGGGACACCCUGGGGGAGACGCUCUCAGCCCCAGCGGGACUGCGUGGUCCCUGGAGCCUGGGCUUGCCUUCCGCUCCUGGGGCGCUGUAGUGAAAAGAAUGAGCCCCAAAGCCAGUCAUCCGCAACCCCACAUACUCCUUCGUUUCCUGAAGCUGGGGUGGACUCGUUUGCGCUGGGAGAGGUCGCUCGAGCUUUCGCUGUAUUUCCGUUUGGGGCUACACCAGUGUGCAGUUUUGGAGUCGACUCCCCUCCUCCUUUAAACUUCAGCUGAAAGAGAAAACAUUCAGUUGUCACCGAGAAUGCACAACUUAUUGAUCGAUGGAUAGUGACAUAGUACUGAUUUAAGCAUGAGACUAGACGGUCCCUUUUCUGCACAGGUGGGUCAAUGCAUAUUAAAUACAUGGUAUGAUCUGGGAAAGCGCAAGAGAUAGAAACCCCGUAGAACCAAAAUGGCCAGACCUUCUGAAGUUUAUCGUUCAAUGGAGAAAGUUAAAUGAUAUACACAGUCCUUAGGGAGUACAGUGUAAGAUAGGGAAAGAAGCUGGUGAACAAAAGGCUUUAAAACACACACACACACACACACACACACACUCACUCACACUCACUCCACUUUAAUUCAUAGGAUAACCAGAAUGCAGUCGUACUGUUUUUUAUCUUUCUUGUCUUGGAUUUGAGUGCUGAGAAUUUGGGGGGCUCUCCGAAAUGUUAAAUUGAUGCUGAUUUAUUGAAAAUGAUAAUGUGACAUUUCACUUAUGAGUCUACAAUUAUGUCAGGCUUUUAAGUACUUGGUUGUGAUUUAAGUAUUUGGUUGUGAUGUUAAUAGAGACUAAAACUAUCUUUAGCUGUUAUGUCAACCUAAAUGAAGCUGUCUGGGGGGCAAGCUCAAAAAAUGAGUUUAUUUGGGAAUAGCCGAGGAAUUGCAAUUCUGGACGUGCAAACUAUGGUGAACCAUAGGCAAGUUGGAAGAGACAAGGGGAAAGUUAGUUUUUAUUAGGUGUUAGGAGGAAAUUAAGGAGGGUUAUUUAGAAUAAAAGUUCAUUGGAGAAGAACAAGAGUGUAAGGUUGUGACAAUGCGUUGUCGCUGCGGCAGGGACGGAUCUUCCUUCCUUUUCUUAAAAGCAGGAGAUGAAAUUCCUAGGUGAAGAUGUCCUCCGUUGCACCAGCAGAAAAGUUACAUUCUUAUCAUCACGGAUAAGAAGUUGGGACUGAGAGAAUUUUAUACAAAUAGGCCUGGUUAAAAUAAUUCUUAUCGUCCAUCUUCCUGCCAGUUAGGCAGGCAGCAGUGAGUGGUAUGUACGUGAGAGGUCCCCCUUCAGGGUUUCAUGACUCCAUUUUAAAAGAGGUUUUCCUUUAUUUUCACACUUACUAUGAACAAAACAUGUUCCAAGACACUACUAGUCUGAGUUUUUCUGUGAUGUAAUAUGUAGAGUUCCAGGUGCCACCAGCGGUUCUAUCAACUGACUUCCGUUAGUUGGGAGUAGGACAGCUCAAUUUUAUCUAGAGACAUGCACAGCAUAACAGCGUUUGGGUCAAGGACGGAGGGCAUAUAGGAGGGUGGUCCCGUAAGAUUAGUACCAUAUAGCCUAGGUGUGUAGUAGUCUAUACCAUCUAGGUUUGUGUGAGUACACUCUAUGAUGAAUUGUGUAAGUACGCUCAAUGAUGAAACUGCCUAACACAUUUCUCAGAAUGUAUCCCCAUCAUUGAGCAAUGCGUGGCUAUAUUUCUGUCAUCCUCCCCUCUUAGCCAGUCCAAUUGCUGCUAUUCCUGCAAGAUUCACCGAAGUCUUACAUCCUCUAAGGAACCUUAGUGUUCUAAUUAAUCUCUUUGUCCCCCAGAUAAGAGAAAGAAAGAAAUAUAGUAAUAGAAAAAAGACAAAAUUAGCAUUAUUUUCAGAGGAUGAUGAUGCUAAGGUGUUUAAAGCAAAAGCCAACUGAGUAAAUUUGAAGAUCGAAUUGGCUCUAUCCAACAAUUCAUGAAUUGAGCAGCAUCCCAGCUAGCAAAUAGAAGGGAGGUCCAAGGAGCUAUGCAAAGUGGAAGGCUGUUAUGGGCAGAAGGGACGGAAUAAAGGAAGUUUCUAGCAAAGAGCAGAUUCGGGCAAGAUCACCUUCCUUUGGGGAAGAGUAGUGUGGGGAUCUAUGAGGCAGAUUACUCACUCAUGCCGACCAGGUAAUUCCAGAUUGACUAGUUAAAGGUCACAUUCCUGUGAGAGACUGAAAGUGCAAUUAAGUCUUGAUUUAUUGAUGUGGGACUUAGCACAAGUGACACCAUUUUGUUCCUGUUUUUUCUUUUUUAACAGUUCUCCCCCUUUGCAUGAGACUCUUAGCAUAACUUGAAAGAUGUGAUCAAAAUUUAAGGCAUUAGUGCCACUCUCAGCUACCGCUCUGUUGGUCUCGCAGCUUUUACUGUUUCUCCGUGUUAUAGUCACAGGUCAUGAGGUUUUCUGCUGAAUCCUGUGGUAUUCACAGGUCACGACUUCACAUUCAUUUGCUUGAUGGUUAGCAGCUGCAAACACGCAUUUAAAGCUUUUGAGAGAAUACAGUGCAUCAGGGAGAUUACUAUGACUGUUACUGGUAGGAUAAUUCCCAUGUCUGGAGUGCACUUCAGAGCCAUGGUCCCCAAGACCCAAACCAAUCAAAAUCCAAUAAGUGAAAGAAAUACUCUGUUGAAGGAGUCACCUUUUUAAGCCAAGUGGCGCACUCAGUGAUUUUAUGUAACUAAAUUUCAGCUUCCCCAGAAGUGUUAAUCCAGGUGCAGCGGUGGUGGCCACAGCACAGACACAUCCUUGCUCAGCUAACAAAUGAUCAAGGGCUGUCAUAUUAUCAAGAACUACUUUGAGCUGAGAGUCUAGAGAUUUUCAUUGGGCAGCUAUUGCUUUAGCAGCGAAUUCUGCAAUACUUUCAAGAGUUAAGGAGGGAUUUCUGAUCACAGCCUCAUUUGUACUCACUCCUAACAAAGGAAGUAGGGACCUGCCGAAAGAAGCACAUCCUGAAUCAUGAAGGCCUCCUGGCAGGUCUUUUCGAAUUGGAUGAUUAGGGGAGUUGACCAAUGAAGUGUCUUAGCCUAUUUGAGAACAGUUGAGUGGCACAGUUAGAUAACCUAAGGGGCAUUGCCCAGUUAUGUGUUAGCCAUCUAAGCAUUUAUAGGUCCAAGGAGAAUGAUCACCACCACCGAUGAAAUUAAAUCCUGUUGGGGCGUAAACCAUUACUGCUCAGGUGGCAUUGUUCAUGGGUUCCAGCAUCAUGAACAGAUUGGAGUUUUUGAUGAUGAAUCCAGCUGUCUGAAAGGUUGCUCUCCCUUAGUAAUGGCUUGGGAGAUAUGAUGGUGGCAUUAUCUUGCCAGGCCAAUGCCAGAGUAAAGGAAAGAAGAGAGGAAGACAGUGUUUCAUGUUUAGUUAAAAUGGGAAAUCUUGAUCUGGUGUCUUGGGUGGAAGCAGUCUACGUCAAUGUCAGCUGCUUCUCCUGCUCAUCAGUUUGAUUCAGAGGUCUUCAGUGUUUGUAAAGGACCAGAGGUCAGGAGGAGCUUUCUUCCACUGUGAGAUGUGUAGCCAAGGUUUAAGUCCUGGAGGUUUGGCUGCCAUCUGGGUCGGGAGGAAGACCUAGUAUAUUCCUUUCCAAGGAGAUUCAAGGACAGUCUUUGGUCUCAGUGAUUCCAAAUCAGAAGGAUGGGAGGCAAUAGGAAACAUUCGGUUGGAGAGUGGUAGCCAGAUAUUUGAGAAAAUUAGAAGAAUUUAGGAUCCAGUUCAGUUUACAGGUAUAUAACAAAACCUCAAAGACAAUUAACAGGGUUAGAAUCUAAAUAUCUACAAAGGUGCAAACAUAAUUUUUCUCUCUACAAUUACCCCAUUUUUUACCAAAGAUAAUCAGAGUAAAACUAAUUUGUUUGUAUUAAACUUGGCCUGAUUAUUUACAUGAGUGUAGCAAGAAUGGUGAUUGACCACAUAAGCUCUUUUAAGACUGCUUUGCUGGAACUUUUUAUAAGGAAUCUCAGAUUUGACUCUUUCAAAGCCUCUGAGGCCAGGAAGCCGAGCCAAGUUUCAGGCAGUUCCUUACAGCUGUCUGGUCAUGUCUGAAUCUAUGCAUCUCUCUCUCAACUAUGACAUUCCAGUCAAAGCCUUGGUAA